rnacentral:rRNA from 1 species
GACGAACGCUGGCGGCGUGCUUAACACAUGCAAGUCGAACGAUGAUGCCCAGCUUGCUGGGUGGAUUAGUGGCGAACGGGUGAGUAACACGUGAGUAACCUGCCCCUGACUCUGGGAUAAGCGUUGGAAACGACGUCUAAUACUGGAUAUGAUCACUGGCCGCAUGGUCUGGUGGUGGAAAGAUUUUUUGGUUGGGGAUGGACUCGCGGCCUAUCAGCUUGUUGGUGAGGUAACGGCUCACCAAGGCGACGACGGGUAGCCGGCCUGAGAGGGUGACCGGCCACACUGGGACUGAGACACGGCCCAGACUCCUACGGGAGGCAGCAGUGGGGAAUAUUGCACAAUGGGCGAAAGCCUGAUGCAGCAACGCCGCGUGAGGGAUGACGGCCUUCGGGUUGUAAACCUCUUUUAGUAGGGAAGAAGCGAAAGUGACGGUACCUGCAGAAAAAGCACCGGCUAACUACGUGCCAGCAGCCGCGGUAAUACGUAGGGUGCAAGCGUUGUCCGGAAUUAUUGGGCGUAAAGAGCUCGUAGGCGGUUUGUCGCGUCUGCUGUGAAAUCCCGAGGCUCAACCUCGGGCUUGCAGUGGGUACGGGCAGACUAGAGUGCGGUAGGGGAGAUUGGAAUUCCUGGUGUAGCGGUGGAAUGCGCAGAUAUCAGGAGGAACACCGAUGGCGAAGGCAAAUCUCUGGGCCGUAACUGACGCUGAGGAGCGAAAGCAUGGGGAGCGAACAGGAUUAGAUACCCUGGUAGUCCAUGCCGUAAACGUUGGGCGCUAGAUGUAGGGACCUUUCCACGGUUUCUGUGUCGUAGCUAACGCAUUAAGCGCCCCGCCUGGGGAGUACGGCCGCAAGGCUAAAACUCAAAGGAAUUGACGGGGGCCCGCACAAGCGGCGGAGCAUGCGGAUUAAUUCGAUGCAACGCGAAGAACCUUACCAAGGCUUGACAUACACCGGAAACGGCCAGAGAUGGUCGCCCCCUUGUGGUCGGUGUACAGGUGGUGCAUGGUUGUCGUCAGCUCGUGUCGUGAGAUGUUGGGUUAAGUCCCGCAACGAGCGCAACCCUCGUUCUAUGUUGCCAGCGGGUUAUGCCGGGGACUCAUAGGAGACUGCCGGGGUCAACUCGGAGGAAGGUGGGGAUGACGUCAAAUCAUCAUGCCCCUUAUGUCUUGGGCUUCACGCAUGCUACAAUGGCCGGUACAAAGGGCUGCGAUACCGUAAGGUGGAGCGAAUCCCAAAAAGCCGGUCUCAGUUCGGAUUGAGGUCUGCAACUCGACCUCAUGAAGUCGGAGUCGCUAGUAAUCGCAGAUCAGCAACGCUGCGGUGAAUACGUUCCCGGGCCU